CGGUGCGCGUCGCGGGGCUUACGCCCCACGUCCGCCACGCGUGCGGACGCGGCGUGCCGGCGUGCCGGCCGCCGCCGUGCCGG
rnacentral:tRNA from 1 species